AACGCUGAAGAGAGGAGCUUGCUCUUCUUGGAUGAGUUGCGAACGGGUGAGUAACGCGUAGGUAACCUGCCUGGUAGCGGGGGAUAACUAUUGGAAACGAUAGCUAAUACCGCAUAAAAUGGAUUAUCGCAUGAUAAUGCAUUGAAAGGUGCAAAUGCAUCACUACCAGAUGGACCUGCGUUGUAUUAGCUAGUUGGUGGGGUAACGGCUCACCAAGGCGACGAUACAUAGCCGACCUGAGAGGGUGAUCGGCCACACUGGGACUGAGACACGGCCCAGACUCCUACGGGAGGCAGCAGUAGGGAAUCUUCGGCAAUGGACGGAAGUCUUGACCGAGCAACGCCGCGUGAGUGAAGAAGGUUUUCGGAUCGUAAAGCUCUGUUGUAAGAGAAGAACGAGUGUGAGAGUGGAAAGUUCACACUGUGACGGUAUCUUACCAGAAAGGGACGGCUAACUACGUGCCAGCAGCCGCGGUAAUACGUAGGUCCCGAGCGUUGUCCGGAUUUAUUGGGCGUAAAGCGAGCGCAGGCGGUUAGAUAAGUCUGAAGUUAAAGGCUGUGGCUUAACCAUAGUACGCUUUGGAAACUGUUUAACUUGAGUGCAAGAGGGGAGAGUGGAAUUCCAUGUGUAGCGGUGAAAUGCGUAGAUAUAUGGAGGAACACCGGUGGCGAAAGCGGCUCUCUGGCUUG
rnacentral:rRNA from 1 species